AAAGCAGCCACACAUUAAAAGAGUGCGUAAUAGCUCACUGGUCGAGUGAUCCUGCGCCGAAAAUUCAACGGGGCUAAAAUUUGUACCGAAGCUUGGGCUUGAUACAUUCGUAUCAGGGGUAGGGGAGCGUCAUGUAUGAGGUGAAGUCGUAGCGGAAGCGGAGGUGGAUUGUACAUGAGAGAGAAUGCCGGAAUGAGUAGCGAGAAUUAUGUGAGAAUCAUAAUGGCCGAAAAUCUAAGGCUUCCUGAGGAAGGUUCGUCCGCUCAGGGUAAGCCGGGAGCUAAGGUGAGGCGGAAACGCGUAGCCGAUGCACAUACGGUAGAGAUUCCGUAGCCUCCGAAAAGUAAAGCACAGGGACGCUUCAGAAGUGUUACGCCGGGCGAUGGUAGCCCCGGUUGUAAAGGACACAAUUGAGUGGAAGGUAACAUGGAUGGAGACAAGAAAAGCUGUGUGUAUCUGGAAGGAGCCCGUACCGCAAACCGACACAGGUAGAUAGGAAGAAGAUUCUAAGGCCAGCGGGAGAAGGGUUGUUAAGGAACUCGGCAAGUUGACCCCGUAACUUCGGGAGAAGGGGUGCUUACGAAGGUAAGCCGCAGAGAAUAGGCCCAAGCGACUGUUUAGCAAAAACACAGCUCUAUGCUAAAUCGAAAGAUGACGUAUAUGGGGUGACACCUGCCCGGUGCUGGAAGGUUAAGAGGAGAUGUGAGAGCAUUGAAUUGAAGCCCCAGUAAACGGCGGCCGUAACAAUAACGGUCCUAAGGUAGCGAAAUUCCUUGUCAGGUAAGUUCUGACCCGCACGAAUGGUGUAACGAUUUGGGCACUGUCUCAACAACCUACCCGGCGAAAUUGUAGUAUCGGUGAAGAUGCCGGUUACCCGCGACUAGACGGAAAGACCCCAUGGAGCUUCACUGUAGCUUAAUAUUGAAUUUUGGUAUUUCAUGUACAGGAUAGGUGGGAGACUGGGAAAUACAGGCGUCAGCUUGUAUGGAGUCACUGUUGGGAUACCACUCUUGAGGUGCUGAAAUUCUAACCUGCGUCUUUGAAUCAAGACGGGGGACAUUGUUAGGUGGGCAGUUUGACUGGGGCGGUCGCCUCCAAAAGAGUAACGGAGGCGCUCAAAGGUUCGCUCAGCAUGGACGGAAACCAUGCCAAAGAGUGCAAACGCAAAAGCGAGCCUAACUGCGAGACUGACGGGUCGAGCAGUAACGAAAGUUGGAGUUAGUGAUCCGGCGGUAUGUGAGUGGAUAUGCCGUCGCUCAACGGAUAAAAGCUACCCUGGGGAUAACAGGCUGAUCUCCCCCAAGAGUCCACAUCGACGGGGAGGUUUGGCACCUCGAUGUCGGCUCAUCGCAUCCUGGGGCUGAAUUCGGUCCCAAGGGUUUGGCUGUUCGCCAAUUAAAGCGGUACGCGAGCUGGGUUCAGAACGUCGUGAGACAGUUCGGUCCCUAUCUGUCGUGGGCGUAGGAUAUUUGAAAGGAGCUGUCCCUAGUGCGAGAGGACCGGGAUGGACGCACCUCUGGUGAACCAGUUGUCACGCCAGUGGCACGGCUGGGCAGCUAAGUGCGGAACGGAUAAACGCUGAAAGCAUCUAAGCGUGAAGCCGACCUUAAGAUAAGAUAUCCGUUCUUCGGAAUAAGACCCCUUGUAGACUACGAGGUUGAUAGGCUUAAAGUGUAAGCAUGGUGACAUGUUUAGCUUGCAAGUACUAAUCGGUCGAUUGCUUUUCC
rnacentral:rRNA from 1 species